ACGAAGGUUCAAAGCGCUGCCUUAGGCAGCACCCCAGAUGACCAGAGCCUUCAAGGUCAUGCCGCUAACCCGGUGGUUCAUCCCAAAGUGCGAUUCGCGCCCGGAGGCUCGCACGGUCAUUCGCCAGAAUGAUGGACGC
ncrna:Pseudomonas putida F1 radC RNA